CAAUCCGUGCUGACAUGGUCGGGCUCGGUCUACCUUAUUGUAUGCGAACAACAUCGAAACUUAUUAAGAAAUCAAACACAUCCGGACGGAUCCCCGCACCCCACGGCACGACGAAAUGAGGAUGGCGUGGAGGGGAGGGGGGCAAAAGGAUUACGAGCUCUCAUCGCCCGUCUCGAGGACCCAGACCUUCUCCCGCCGCCGGGCGACGAUGACGGUGUGCCGGGAAUUUGGGCUUGGUAUGCCGGGAGAAACCGGAGGAGGACGGGAUUUUCGGACGUGGAUGGGAGGUGGAGGAGGAAGAAGAAGACGGCCGCGCCCCUCCUUUUUUUCACAGCAAAAAAGCAAAAGUUCCAGGAAGAAACGAAACGAUCCACCAAACCAAACCCAACCACCACGCCUCCAUUUCAAAAGGGGGGAAAAAGAAGACGAAACAGCAAUCCCGCAGACCGCACCAGACCAAGAAAUUAGAAUGGAUGCCGAAGGCGAUGAGCGGAGAAGCCCUUGCUUACCGCCCCAGCUUCGCCAUGUCGAUCGUGGGCGCGGCGGCGGCGAGCUGGGGAGAAGGGAUGCGGUGCGACGGUGGCGG
rnacentral:misc_RNA from 1 species